GAACAGUCUGAGACGUCACUAAACAAACUUAUUUCCUGAUCUGCUGUGGAAUACACAAACCAAUUUCAAAGCUAACAGAUCAAAUGUUUGGAUCAACCGCACUGAUACUAUGAACAAUGGCUACAUCUCUAGACAGGCGUCGGAUGAAAAACCAUAAAGCUACAAAGGAUUUAUCAGAAGCGUUACUGGCAGGACUGAAUAAACAGGAUUUGAAAAGGACAACAAGGCACAGGCAAUCAAGCAGCUCCAGAAAAACACAAAACAAAAUUUUGGGGCCACUUGCAAAAUCUGUUUCGGGUCCGUCACUCCAACUUAAUUCAAC